rnacentral:rRNA from 1 species
AUGAAGAUGAAUAAUCGGACAAACGACACUGAAUGUGCGGAGCUAAUUGUCAAGGAGAUGUCGGCCGCUUCAGAUUUGAUCGACACCAAGAAUCGAGCCUUCAUGAUACUUGAAUUGUUCGACAAAUCUGCCGCACACUGCAAUACUCCUGAUGAAAAGCAGAAAAUGCGUGAGGAGCACAAGAUACUGAAGCAGAUGCUGGGAGGCCUGCUUCACCAGAACGGCGUCCUGAAGAGGGCCUUUCUUAUCCAGCACAACCGGCUCAAGGACUACCAGGACAUGGUGCAAGAACGGUCCCAGUUCAAGGAGAUCGUCGGCAAGUACCAGCAGCAGAUCAAGGCGCUAGAGGUUAGGAACUAUGUGCUGUCGUUGCAUCUCGCGGGGUCGGAUCAUCAGAGUGACAUAUCUGGGCACCGUAACCCCGACGUCCCCUAG